AAAAGUGAAGCAAGGGACGACCAGGGUAUUUUAAUCAUUUCAUAAUUAAGGGUAAUAUGGGUAUUGCACAACUAUUUCUGCAACAUUCCAGAAUAUAGUGAUAUUUCCACAUUACUCUUCCACAACAUCCACCCAUUUGUCUUUCAUUUCAACCAUAGAUAAAAAAAAAAAAAAUCAACAAAAAAAGGGACAUUUCUAGAAGACAUUUUUACUUGAAUAUAAAUAGGACUAUCUUCUCAAUUGUGUUCAGAGCUUGGUUUAAUCCUCAUCAGUAAGCUCACAGUCAAAGUUGAUAAAGUAGAUGAAUAAAUCAGAGACAUACCUUGUGAGGGCUUCAUGGAUUGGUCCGUUAUACUUCAGUCAGUAUAUAUAUGAAGAUAAGUGAAGUUGCAAUUGCACCAGGAUAUGAGAGGUAUAUUGAAAAGAUUUGAGAAACUCAAAAGGCGAUUGAUUUUUCAAAUAUUGUAUGUGUUGAUGCCAGGGGAUUGAAGCUGAAGGAAGAUAAUCUUUAUUUAACCACAGAGGCUCAAGUUAAGUUAGGUCAAAUGUUGGCUGAUGCGUACCUUACCCAUUUUGCAUCACAAGAACCUUGUGUUGCUUCAUCUUGAGAAAUUUGUUGUACUAUGUGUGUAUAACCUAAAAAUUAUUUAAUCUCGGUUUAUGAACAUAACGACAUUGCUCAUAAGGUAAUAAUGUAACAGUGUAUGUAAUCUUUAUUCCACAUAAGGUAGUCUCGGUAUGAAGAAGCAGCUUAUUUAAUGCUAGAAUUGUAACUUAAUUUUUUUAUAUC